CCUACGGGUGGCAGCAGUGGGGAAUAUUGCACAAUGGGGGAAACCCUGAUGCAGCGACGCCGCGUGAGUGAAGAAGUAUUUCGGUAUGUAAAGUUCUAUCAGCAGGGAAGAAAAUGACGGUACCUGAUUAGGAAGCCCCGGCUAACUACGUGCCAGCAGCCGCGGUAAUACGUAGGGGGAAAGCGUUAUCCGGCUUUACUGGGUGUAAAGGGAGCGUAGACGGCAGAACAAGUAGGAAGUGAAAUGCCGGGGCUUAACCCCUGGACUGCUUUUGAAACUGUGCAGCUAGAGUACUGGAGAGGUAAAUGGAAUUCCUAGUGUAGCGGUGAAAUGCGUAGAUAUUAGGAGGAACACCAGUGGCGAAGGCGGCUUACUGGACAGUAACUGACGUUGAGGCGCGAAAGCGUGGGGAGCAAACAGGAUUAGAUACCCCUGUAGUC
rnacentral:rRNA from 1 species